AGAUACUGGAAAGUGUGCUUGGACA
rnacentral:rRNA from 1 species